rnacentral:rRNA from 1 species
CCUACGUGAGGCAGCAGUGAGGAAUCUUGGUCAAUGGACGCAAGUCUGAACCAGCCAUGCCGCGUGCAGGAAGACGGCUCUAUGAGUUGUAAACUGCUUUUGUACGAGGGUAAACGCAGAUACGCGUAUCUGUCUGACAGUAUCGUACGAAUAAGGAUCGGCUAACUCCGUGCCAGCAGCCGCGGUAAUACGGAGGAUUCAAGCGUUAUCCGGAUUUAUUGGGUUUAAAGGGUGCGUAGGCGGUCGGAUAAGUUAGAGGUGAAAUCCCGAGGCUCAACUUCGGAAUUGCCUCUGAUACUGUUCGGCUAUAGAGUAGUUGCGGUAGGCGGAAUGUAUGGUGUAGCGGUGAAAUGCUUAGAGAUCAUACAGAACACCGAUUGCGAAGGCAGCUUACCAAGCUACUUCUGACGUUGAGGCACGAAAGCGUGGGGAGCAAACAGGAUUAGAUACCCGGGUAGUC